AUUGAGCGCUGGCGGCAGGCCUAACACAUGCAAGUCGAACGGCAGCACAGAAGAGCUUGCUCUUUGGGUGGCGAGUGGCGGACGGGUGAGUAAUGUCUGGGAAACUGCCCGAUGGAGGGGGAUAACUACUGGAAACGGUAGCUAAUACCGCAUAACGUCGCGAGACCAAAGUGGGGGACCUUCGGGCCUCACACCAUCGGAUGUGCCCAGAUGGGAUUAGCUAGUAGGUGGGGUAAUGGCUCACCUAGGCGACGAUCCCUAGCUGGUCUGAGGGGAUGACCAGCCACACUGGAACUGAGACACGGUCCAGACUCCUACGGGAGGCAGCAGUGGGGAAUAUUGCACAAUGGGCGCAAGCCUGAUGCAGCCAUGCCGCGUGUAUGAAGAAGGCCUUCGGGUUGUAAAGUACUUUCAGCGGGGAGGAAGGCGGUGAGGUUAAUAACCUCGCCGAUUGACGUUACCCGCAGAAGAAGCACCGGCUAACUCCGUGCCAGCAGCCGCGGUAA
rnacentral:rRNA from 1 species